AUGUGAUUCGUUGCGUUUAAUACAUUUUUUGGUUUGAGUGUUUCGAUUCUUAUGUCGAUUUAAUCUGUGACGUGUAGACUGUAGUACACGGUCAGUUCUAUAUCGGUCGGUCGCAGAACUUUUGGGUAGUUUUCGUAAGAUCGUAAACACGACGGACGACUGUUUCCAACAGCUGCCAAACGAAAUACCUAUAGUUCAAUAAUUGAUGCACACAAUGUGGGCCAGCCGAUAAGACAGCAAUCACUACCAAUUCUGAAACUUCAUCAAUUAUACGGCUGACGGAAAAGCAAUUUGUACAAGAACCGCAACAGAAACGACUUUUCAGAUGUGAAGUAUGUUCUAAAUCCUUUGAUAGUUGAAUCAAUUGCCUUGAUCACAUUGAAAAAGACCAUAAUCAACCUCAAAUUAAGAAAGAGAAACAGAAGAUUCUCGUCCGGUUACAACCAAUGUUAUGAAACCGGAACCAUCCAAGACUCAAGAAAGUAAUCUGCAAGCGGAGUCUCCUAUAGACGUAGUCUUUAAUUUGUGUUUAUUAUUUCCUAAUUGUGUAGCUUAGCUUAUGAUAUA